rnacentral:rRNA from 1 species
UGCCAGCAGCCGCGGUAAUACGGAGGGUGCGAGCGUUAAUCGGAAUUACUGGGCGUAAAGAGCACGUAGGCGGUUGUGUAAGUUGGAUGUGAAAGUCCCGGGCUUAACCUGGGAAAGCCAUUUGAUACUGCACGACUGGAAUACAAGAGAGGUAAGUGGAAUUUCCGGUGUAGCGGUGAAAUGCGUAGAGAUCGGAAGGAACACCAGUGGCGAAGGCGGCUUACUGGCUUGAUAUUGACGCUGAGGUGCGAAGGCAUGGGUAGCGAACAGGAUUAGAU